rnacentral:piRNA from 1 species
UGACAAGGCAAAGAACAUUAA